AGUGAACGCUGGCGGUAGGCCUAACACAUGCAAGUCGAACGGCAGCACAGUAGGAGCUUGCUCUUACGGGUGGCGAGUGGCGGACGGGUGAGGAAUACAUCGGAAUCUACUUUUUCGUGGGGGAUAACGUAGGGAAACUUACGCUAAUACCGCAUACGACCUACGGGUGAAAGCAGGGGAUCUUCGGACCUUGCGCGAUUGAAUGAGCCGAUGUCGGAUUAGCUAGUUGGCGGGGUAAAGGCCCACCAAGGCGACGAUCCGUAGCUGGUCUGAGAGGAUGAUCAGCCACACUGGAACUGAGACACGGUCCGGACUCCUACGGGAGGCAGCAGUGGGGAAUAUUGGACAAUGGGCGCAAGCCUGAUCCAGCCAUACCGCGUGGGUGAAGAAGGCCUUCGGGUUGUAAAGCCCUUUUGUUGGGAAAGAAAAGCGGCAGGUUAAUACCCCGCUGUUCUGACGGUACCCAAAGAAUAAGCACCGGCUAACUUCGUG
rnacentral:rRNA from 1 species